CGGGGUUUCAGCUGAUGUGAGGGCAUGUUGAAUUUGGGGUACCUCUGAAAAAAAAUAGGAAUGGGAGAAAAGUUAGUCCAGGGACAGGCCUAGGAAAGCAGGUAUUUGUCUAAUCUGAUGUUUAUUGGAAGCCAUGAGAAUCAAUGAAUGUAUCCAGAAAGUGAGACUAUGAACAAGACAAAUCUGAUGGUAACAUUUUUAGCUUUAAGACUCACAGAUAAAAAGCCAGGCAAAGAGAGAAAGUGAUCAUAUUCAAUGAAUACAGGAGGAAAGAUGAGAGCAGAAAGAAUCCAACUAGGAAACCACACAGUUGGAAACCAACGAAGAAUUUUGAGGAUGACGUUGAGGUCAUGAAGAGGUCAAUGAGCAUAAGGAUUGAAGACACCCACGUUCUGAACAUAGAAGAGGUCUGUUUUCCUAUCAUUCGACACUGAAAUGACGUUUCCAGGAUAAAAUUCUCCAAUUCAUGUCGAGUGUGCUUAUCCAUGUUUUCCCCAGGUGACCAUCUAACCCCCUCAAUAUUUUUUUCCACCAGGUGGCAAUGCCCUCUUACUAUUGAAGAGCUGAAAGCUCAACAUGACAAAAACAGUGAAUAACCUGGGUUUCUGAAAGAACAUUCUGACAACUGUCUUUGUUUAGAAAGUUGACAUUUUCAUCAGAGUUGCCUCCUGGAAAAUCCAUUACAGAUUCCCAAACUGCUGAUUAUACACAACCUGAGAAGAAAUCUAAGGGAAGGUGACUGGCUGCUUUAUAUCAAAAGAAGGUCACCUAAUGUCUUAAACUCAAAGUGUGUUUUUUUUUUUUAGAAAGAAGGAGAAAAGGUUUUUGAUAAUCUGAAAUUUUGGCAGCAUAGGGCAGAUAACAGAAAGUCUGAUCUACUCUCAAGAAAGAAAGGAUGGAUAAAACAAUUGAUUAAGAAAAAAAACACAAAAUGAGAGAGUGAGGGAAAAUUUUAGGGAUUGAUUUAUAUAUAUUUUAAAUUAGUAAUCAAUAAAUAUUUGAUGAAUGAAUGAAAGGACAGAAAAGAGAGUAUCUGAUGAAAUGCAAUAUUCUAUGAUCUAGUACUCCAGAAAUUGUUGAAAGAAAAGGAAACAUUUUGAGAAACAUCAAGUUUAGAAUAUAGACUGGAACAGGGGUCAGCAAACUGUGAUCCAUGAGACCAUUCUGGCUUAACACCUGUUCUUGCAAAUAAAGUUUUAUUGGAACAACCACAUUCAUUUAUUCACAAAUCAACUAUGGCUGCUGCCAUGUGCUGUAACUGCAGAACUAUGUGUUUUCCACAUAACACCAGGCCCACAAAUCCUAAAAGACUUACUAACUGGCCCUUACCAUGAAAAGUGUGAUGAUUUCUGGAGUAGCAUUUAAGGACAUGGGUUUUAGAACCAGAUAAAUAUAAACUUCAGUCUCAGUUCUAACACUUAAUAGCUGUUUGACCUUAACUAAAUUGUAAGGGUUAAUGUAGGCCUUGCUUUUAAAACACUUAGCACCCUGCUGAUACACAGAAAUCAUAUUACUCAUUACUAUCUCUCUUGUGUAAACUCAAUGAGAAACUGAGAUAAUUUCCUCAACUCUCAUUAAUCCUCAAAAACGAAAAUAUUUUGUAAUUAUAGACAAACGGUGGAGAAUAAAUGUACCUCCUUUUAAUUCUGGCAAACCUGCUUUCUCCAAAUAACUCCUCUCUGUUUCCUUCUCUUUCAGUAGAGUCAAACUCUUGAUGACGGUAUUUAGCAGUUGGUAAAUGCCUAGUGUGCUGAGUCUGUGCAGAUCUGAUACUCUUCACAGUCCCUGACCAAAGCCCCGGAUCCUGAAUCUUACAAAAUGCAAUGGAAUCUUGAAAAAUAGAAAAGACAUGGGGCAAGUAUUCAAAACUUACCCUAAGUGCUUCUGACCCUGAAUAGCUAAGGCUCAAAAUUGGCUUACAGAACAUGCAAUGAUGAUUUUGAUGGUUUUUCGUUCUAGUUUCUAACUAAUUCAGUGUUUGGCUGCCAGUAAGGGCCUUUGGCAAACACCUAUAGGAGAAGUGUCUAAAAUGUAAAGUGAAUCACUGGAAAUGGGAACUCUGUCAAAAUAAGGGAAUUAAGUUCAUUAAAGGUGUGGUAGCUUAAUUUACUGUGCCAGUUCAUACUGAUCAGGGUUGGCACUGAACACUCAGCUAGUGCAAACCCACCCAAACUUGGCAGAAUAAAUGACCCCAACCAAUCCAGCCUCUUGGCUUUCUCUCCAGGUUAAAUGUGCUUAAAUUAGUAAAAAUUGGGUUUGGACUAUGGGCCUUUCUUGUCUUCUAGAUUGGGGCUGUGUUGUAUCAACUCCAUGAGACAAACAGCAAAGACAACUUUGCUCAUGGGGUAGAAUGGUUGACAUCUCCAGGUGAGAAAAAUGGCCUCAAAAGUCCCAGAGUCUUUGGGAACUGCAUCAAACAACCAAGGAAUUUAUGUCCAAACUCUGUAAACACACAUUUCCAAGAUGGCAUUUAGGUAGAUGGCCUCUUGGUAGAAAACUAAGUAGGUCCCUGGAGAGCAAGACGUGAGAGCCAGGUGAGGCUGCUCCUGGGAUCACUAUAACCACAUUGGACAUGAUACAAAGUCAGGAGGUAGUGUGUGGGAUGUGAUAGGGGUCCACUUGCUGACACACAAACCUUAAAACCUAGAUGAGGUUCACGUGGGCAUGGGGUACCAUGUCAAAACACAGUGUGCCAACUACUUCUAUGAGGAGCACGGAUUUGCCUCACCAUAGAAGAGGAGAGCUGUAGGUGUUUCAACUGACACUUUCACAGAUCACUUCAAUAUAUGGAAAUCCUAUUUUGCAUGUGAUUUACACAGUUGAAUUUAUUCAAAAGAGAUUUAUGUUGUAAUUUGCUAAGUACUCUGAAUAGAAAAUUAAAGUGACUGUCCCUGCCCUCAUAGAGCUGAUGUUCUGGUAGAGGAGACAGGCUUUUACAUGAAUAGCUAUAAUGGUAUUUGAAUAAUAGCAAACAACAGGCAAGGGCAGGGUGCUAAACAAAGAAAGGAAUUAAAGAAAUUAAGUAAUGCUUUGUCAAAUGGUGAUGUUGGACCUGCACCAUGAGGGAUAUGAAGAUAGUGUCAUUCCCUGGCCCUCUGCCCUUCAUUAUGUUUUCUAAAAAGGGACCAGAAGAUUUACUUAAAAAGCAGCCAUAACUAUAAAUGCAUAUUCUUCUCUCCUUUUCCUCAGCUCCACAUUUUACUAGCACUGUUGGAUUUCCCUAGGACCCUAGUGAAACAACCAGAAAUUUGGAUAAGAACAUUUAAGAAAAAUAACGUAUCUCUGUUUCAUUACACGUGGAUUAUUUUUUUGAUGUUUCUUUCUGUCAGUCAGAAAUGGACAGGUGAAAAUGUUAUGUAAACCCUCAAUAUCAGUCAUCUUUAUAGUUACACUAGUAUUCCAGCCAUUCUUUUCAUUAAAACAAAUAAAAAAAAAACUUGGGAAGAGACUACCACGUUUAGUUAGAAAACAGUACAGUCAGCUUCUUUUUUUCUUUUUUAAUGUGUUUUUAUGGUUUGCUUGUGUGCUUUUCAUCAAAAAAUUCUUACUGUCAAAUUAAUUGAGAAACUUACAGUAAUUGAUGGCCAUUCUGGGAUGUCUCAACAAUACUGCUGCCCUAAAUAAUAUUUCCUAAUGAUUAUUAAGCCUGAAUAAAUGAGUUUUUAAAGGUUGUCAGUAUAGCCUAUUUCAUAAAUAUUUAUUGAGCACUGUAUUAGCCUGUUUUGCAGAUAAGGGAAUACUGGAGGCUGGGUAAUUUAUAAAUUAAGAAAGGCUUAUUUGGCUCACAGUUAUGCAGGUUGUGCAAGAAGCAUGGUGCUGGCAUGUACUUGGCUUCUGGUGAGGCCUCAGGAAGUUUACAAUCAUGGUAGAAGGUGAAGGGGGAGCAGGCAUGUCACAUGGUGAGAGAGGGAGCAAGAGAGAGAAGGAGGUGCCAGGCUCCUUUAAACAACCAGCUCUCAAAUGAACUACUAGAGCAAGAACUCACUCGUUACCAUGGGUAUGGCACCAAGUCAUUUAUAAAACAUCCAUCGCCAUGACUGAAACACCUCCCACCAGGCUCACCUCCAACAUCGAAGGUUACACUUCAACAUGAGAUUUGCAUCCAAACUAUAUCAAGCAUCUAUAAUGUGCCAUGUGCUAGGCAAUGGGCAUAGCAGAAACAAUUAUGAGCAAG
rnacentral:lncRNA from 10 species